ACACUGCCAUCAUACACUGGUUGAUUUUAAACCUGGAGUAGUUAUUACUACUAGGAUAUCAUCUGUGAAUGAUUUGGAGGCAAAUAGUCAGGAGGGUGUAGAGCAGUCAGAAACUGCCAUUCCUUCAAAUACUCAUUAUCAUAUUGAGGACUUGCAGAAGGAUAUAGAGCAAAGAUUUGCAGCUGCUUUGCUUAAGUUGGAGCAUUUGGUCCAUGUGCCAAGCUCAGCUGUUGAUGUUUUCUUAGGGGAACUCCAUCAUUUGAUUGGUUCUGCACCUGUUUCGUUAUCUUGUGACAUUGUUAGUGAAAUAUUUAAUCAGCGAAACAUCCCUGUCGAUUAACUUAUAAUUAGAGAAAAUGUUAAUGCAAUUUGUUCUGGUAAUCCUGUGCAAAGGUCCAUACAAAAAGUUGGCCCUCUAAGUACUGCAUAUCUGCGUAAGCAGUAUUACAAGGAGAACUUCCGUGUUGUAGAGCCUGUUGAAUACAUUCUUGAUGCAAAAAACAACCGCAGUUUCAAAUAUGUCCCAAUAUUGAAGUCCUUAAAGCAGCUGUUAAGUAGAGGGGAUAUCAUUGAUAAAAUUGUUGAGGGCCAUCAAAGACAGGAGGGCACACAUUCUGAUGUGUCAUAUAAGUACAGGACCUCAAGAGAUGGUUCCCUAUUUAAGGAAAAUGGUUUCUUCUCUGGAAAAAAGCCGAGAAUCAUCCUAUUUGUAUGUGGAUGACAUUGAAACUUGUAACCCCCUUGGCACGUCGUGGAAAAAACACAAGCUCUGUGCGGUAUAUUGGGUGUUGGCUAACUUCCCUACGGGGUCUCAUUCCUCGUUAUCUAUCUACUUGUCAGUUUUGUGCAAAUCCGAUGAUGUUAAAACCUAUAGUUAUAAUAAGGUCUUUGAACCUCUUGUACAAGAUCUGCAAACUCUGCAGGAGCUGGGUGUUUAUGUCUCGCUGUUAGGUGAGUCAGUUAAAGGUACUGUAUUCAGAGUAGUGGCUGACAACCUGGGAGCACACAGCGUUGCAGGAUUUUUGGAGAGUUUCUCAGUGGAACACUUGCAGAUUUUGCACAGGAAAAACUACUGAUUUUCAGCUACAUUCUGUUGCAUCUGGUGUGUUCAGUCUGAGAACAAAGGAGCUUCAUCAAGCCCAUGUCAACCAAGCCCAAGAUACAGGUAAACAUUGUUGUGGGGUCCAAAAAGAAUGCAUCUUCACAAAACAACUGUCUCAUUUUCAUGCCAUUUUUGGCUAUCCACCUGAUCUUGCCCACAAUGUUUUUGAGGGUAUAAUCCCAGUCGAACUAGCUCAAUGCUUAGCGGUGCUCAUUUCCAGAAAGCUUUUCACAUUAGGUGACCUGAACAAUGCAAGUUUCCCUGCAAAUGGGUUGACAAGACUAACAAACCUCAUGUAGUGUCACAAAGUUUCUCCAGCAGAAAAACAAUGGGGGGAAAUGCUCAUGAAAACUGGAGCCUGCUCCGGUUUUUACCUUUUUUGGUUGGAUCACUUGUACCCGAAGAUGAGCCUGCGUGGCUUGUUCUCAUGGACCUGAAGGACAUCACAGAGCUUGUUGUUGCCCCUGUGCUUAGUGAUGACUCGCUUGUGUUUUUAGAAGGUAAAAUCAUAGAGCACCGGCAGAGGUACAAAGAGUUACCAAAACACCAUUAUUUGGAACACUACCCCCAGAUCAUUAGGCUGUUUGGUCCAGUUGUCAGCCAGUUGUCAGCCAGUGAGGCUAAGCAUAGAUUUUUCAAGCAGGUUAUCAGACACACAAGCUGCUUCAAAAAUGUGCCCCUAUCAUUAGCCGUGAAGCAUCAGAUGAUGAUUGCUUCCCGUCUGAGCAAGCCUGACCUUGAGGUCUCAGCUGUACCAACCACUGAGCUCUACCAGUAGACUUACUCAAAGAGUUGGCCAUUCUUGACAGUUUGGUGCAGGAAAUUGUGCAGUAUAAAGUCUGUCACUGAUAAGGAGAUGGAACAGGUAGCACAGAGUCUCAUCAAGACACAUCCAUGUUUAACUGAGAAGGGGUCCUCUUCUGGAUGUGGUGGAUGGAAGACCAGUUUAAAAUAUAAACUAUCAAACUACCGCACACAACUGAGAACUAGGCAGCCCAGAAGUAACAGUGAAGUCGUUAAAAAAACAAGCCUGCAGGGAGACUCAGUGCAGCCUUUGGUGUCAAAAAGGCAAAGAGAUCAGAGGUGAAUUUUUGCCCAACAUAUCAGAAACUGAGGUCUGGAGGUCAUGUAGAAAGCACGGCUCUUGGAUGUAAAGAAGAGAGACAACAGAGAGGUUGUGAAACUCAAGAUGGAAAAUACUUUUGCACACAGAAGACAUUAAGUUGUUCGUGAUGCACCAAUGGUGGAGGAUUUCAUGGCAAGGUGGCCUGCUCUGUUCGACGUCAGUGAGAUCAACACUGAAUUCAAGAGAAUCAACACAGUCCCACUUCAAUCCGAGUUUCUGUCUCAGCUUGACCUCCACUCUGACAACCUGAUGAAGCUGUUCAAAAAGAGAGGAGGACAGCUAGGGCAAAGGCUGAAAACAGUCAUUACACAAGUGGCUGAUCUAAGUAGUUCCUAGCGGCCCCCGGGCCAGAAAACCUAGAUAAUUUAAGAAUUAUGACUGUGUUAUUGAAAACAUUAAGACUGGGGGAAGGUUAUGUAAAAUUGGCAAGAAUGGCAUACAAAUUGUACAGAAAGCAAGGGAGGCCCUACGUCUAUUGACUUUUCCUCUUUCUCCUACUAAAUUCAUCUUUUUGUCUCAGUUUUAACCUUUCCUCUUUAUUUAUUUUCUGAUCUUCAAAUUUGUGUCUUUCUUUGUCUUUACUGUCAAACUCUUUCCUACGUGAUUUGGAGCGGACAACAAGGCUAGAACCAUUGUGGGAACCCUGUUGUAAUAUUCUUAGAGAAAUAUGUACCCAUAUGACAGUGUACACCAGUAGUUGACUUCAAAAUGUAGCAAAAGUGCUAAACCAAGAUGCUAAUAAAAAAAAUUCAGUGUGAUGAUAUAGAUGCUGAACGGGAGUGUAUCAUCAAGCGAGUCUAUCUACAUGGGUGAAGAUCCAGAAAAUCUUAUGCAGCAAUAUGUGGGCACGGAUGAAGACGCCAUCAACGAGGCCAUUGAAGACACCACUGUUGGGAUUGAUGUUCUUAAAGAACAUGCUUCAAAUGAGGAACCAGAGGACAUCGGAAUUGUCCUUGAAGGCAAGAUCUUGAUAAUGUAGCAUUAGCUGUUGCUAUGCUGUUUGGACUAAUGUUUGCACUGAACUUGAGCUACCCUGCUGAGCUUCGUUAUAUGUUUGAGGUAAUCCAAAAGAUUUUAAUUGAACUUGAUGGAGGGAAACUUUCCAACAAAGCACUCACUCUAAAAAACUGGCUCUUCCAGUGAACGGGUCAGAGAGACUGCGCCGUCAGCCUAACGACGUAGUUGUCCCUAAAGGCAUCGUUGGUAUGGCUAUACCGUUUGGACUAGUGUUGUUUGUUUUGAAUUAAAUGGACAGAAUUUGCAUGGAUCUGCAUGGAAAUAACCUUUUGCAAACCAAGCAAAAGUUUGCUCUCUGAAAAAAGACUCUUUUAGUAAAGACUGAGCUGUCAGCGAUAAAACAGGCAUCUUUGGUACUGCUAUACCAGAUGGACCACU